GAUGAACGCUGGCGGCGUGCUUAACACAUGCAAGUCGAACGAUGAUCUCCAGCUUGCUGGGGGGAUUAGUGGCGAACGGGUGAGUAACACGUGAGUAACCUGCCCUUGACUCUGGGAUAAGCCUGGGAAACUGGGUCUAAUACUGGAUACGACCUUCUGGCGCAUGCCAUGUGGGUGGAAAGCUUUUGUGGUUUUGGAUGGACUCGCGGCCUAUCAGCUUGUUGGUGGGGUAAUGGCCUACCAAGGCGACGACGGGUAGCCGGCCUGAGAGGGUGGACGGCCACACUGGGACUGAGACACGGCCCAGACUCCUACGGGAGGCAGCAGUGGGGAAUAUUGCACAAUGGGCGCAAGCCUGAUGCAGCGACGCCGCGUGAGGGAUGAAGGCCUUCGGGUUGUAAACCUCUUUCAGUAGGGAAGAAGCGAAAGUGACGGUACCUGCAGAAGAAGCGCCGGCUAACUACGUGCCAGCAGCCGCAGUAAAAC
rnacentral:rRNA from 1 species